CUUCUGCUCUCUAAGUCGUAAGAACGGAGAGAAAGAAGUACUCACUAAGCACUUUCACUCGUGAUUUAGGGCGAUUUAGAGUUGGAUUUUGAAUAUGCUGAAGUGGAAGAAAAGAUAGACGAAGGCAUUAUUUCAUCACUUUUUGGAGUCAUUUAGAGCUUCAGGAGUACGAUUUGCCUAGCGAAGUGAACUACGAAGUUGAAGAUCAAGGUAAAAUAAUUCAUCUUAGUAGCAAACAAGGAGGAGAUGACGUGAUUGAAGAAAUUGUGUAUCCAUCUUCGCUGUCCCUUGUGAGGUGAUGACCACAUACAUGCAAG